rfam:Felis catus isolate Cinnamon breed Abyssinian chromosome D1, whole genome shotgun sequence.
GCCUGAGUGGCUCAGUUGGUUAAGCAUCUGACUUUGGCUCAGGUCAUGAUCUCACAGUUCGUGGGUUCAAACCCUGCAUUGGGUU